UACACAGUUGUAAAUUGUGAACCGUACCAAACUAUUCAGGGGUCGGCUUGUCCGUUAAAUGGUCGUCGGACGCGAGAGAUCGCGGCCGCUCGACCGGCCCCGCACGCGUGUUGUUUUUUAUAAACAUAUGUGUACCUGUCUGACCAAGCGUUGCGGCCGGCCCAAGGGUCGGUCGCAGCAAUUAGAGCAAAAAACGAGAUACAACUUUUGACGGUGGAUCUCUUGGCUCACGCAUCGAUGAAGAACGCAGCCAGCUGCGAUAAGUAGUGUGAAUUGCAGAAUUCAGUGAAUCAUCGAAUCUUUGAACGCAAAUGGCGCUCUUGGGUUCUCCCAGGAGCAUGUCUGUCUGAGUGUCGGAUAUCAUCCAACGCACGCCAGCGUGCGGAAUUGAGGCGUCACGGUCCGUACUGCACGGACCGUGUCCCUUGAAAGUCAGAGAGACUCGCCGCGUCGCGGGAAGAUUCCCCGUGCACACCAGCGGAGGCUAAAAUGUCUUUUGCCCUUCGCGUGCCGGGAAGUCGCCGCGUGCGGCGGUCGUCGUCGGGCGAUC
rnacentral:rRNA from 1 species